rnacentral:rRNA from 1 species
CGCGAUUCGCCCUUCGGGGUGCAGCAGGCGCGAAAACUUUACAAUGCUGGCAACAGCGAUAAGGGGACCUCGAGUGCCAGGAUACAAUCUUGGCUGUCGCGAUGCCUAAAAAGCAUUGCAUAGCAAGGGCCGGGCAAGACCGGUGCCAGCCGCCGCGGUAACACCGGCGGCUCGAGUGGUAACCGCUAUUAUUGGGUCUAAAGGGUCUGUAGCCGGCCGGAUAAGUCUUUUGGGAAAUCCAGCUGCUCAACAGUUGGGCUUUCAGAAGAUACUGUUCGGCUCGAGACCGGGAGAGGUGAGAGGUACUUCAGGGGUAGGGGUGGAAUCUUGUAAUCCUUGAAGGACCACCAGUGGCGAAGGCGUCUCACCAGAACGGAUCUGACGGCAAGGGACGAAAGCUAGGGGCACGAACCGGAUUAGAUACCCGGGUAGUCCUAGCCGUAAACGAUACUCGCUAGGUGUCAGCCACGGUGCGACCGUGGUUGGUGCCGUAGGGAAGCCGUGAAGCGAGCCACCUGGGAAGUACGGCCGCAAGGCUGAAACUUAAAGGAAUUGGCGGGGGAGCAC